GGGCACAUGGUGUAGAUGGUUAUCACGCCUGCUGAGCAUACUCAGUGUGAUCGCAGUAUUUAAAUUCUGCAGGUGGUGCCCGGUUCAAUUCCGGGUGUGUCCA